GUUGUUACAGCAACAAAGGGUGGACCAAGUCCAUAUCAAUGCCCAUAAUUCUGGAUGAGAUGUUGAUGUCAGGUGUCCACAUUUUGGCCGUGUAGUGUAGUAUCAAAGGCAUAUGCCAGAAGGAGCAGUAGAAGUACAUCAAUAUCAGGUGCUCUUGCCCUGCGAGCUUGGAGUUAUCUGAACUUGCUGGUGCCAUUCCAGGGUAGGACAAUUUCAGCAUUUCAAGGCAAAGUGAGAGCAGGUUACUGGCCAGCCCUGAAGAUGAACUGGAAAGUGUGGACCCCUUUCCAAUUUAUCAACAUCAACUACGUGCCUGUUCAGUUCCGUGUACUGUUUGCCAACCUGGUGGCUUUGUUCUGGUACGCCUACCUUGCGUCGGUAAGGAAGUGAAGCCGCCCAACCACCCUUCAGUUUUACGGAAUUCAGCAUGUGCCGGACGUGCGUGGUUCCCAGGACACGUGUUUAACAUACUGUAGGCCUGAUUGUACUAAAUAUAGGUGCUGGAAAUGAACACGAUGGUCGAACCACAUCCAGUGCAGUCGUGGAUUAAACGAACAGUUCGCCAAUGAAGUGGCAGUUCCACAGGGAUCAAAAUGCCAUUUAUAAAUAUAAGGAUUUGCACAUGAACUGAGAAUCAUGUUGACUGAUUGUACCAUAUGCAAUAAUUGAAGAAAAUGCUUUGGAUCCUUCACACAUUGCCUCAAUUUGCAGAAUCGCACGUGUCACAAAAAAA